CGUGAGAUGUUGGGUUAAGUCCCGCAACGAGCGCAACCCUUGCCAUUAGUUGCUACGAAAGGGCACUCUAAUGGGACUGCCGGUGACAAACCGGAGGAAGGUGGGGAUGACGUCAGGUCAUCAUGGCCCUUAUGGGUAGGGCUACACACGUCAUACAAUGGCCGGGUACAGAGGGCUGCCAACCCGCGAGGGGGAGCCAAUCCCAGAAAACCGGUCGUAGUCCGGAUCGUAGUCUGCAACUCGACUGCG
rnacentral:rRNA from 1 species